AUGCAGUGACCUAUGAUGAUGUGUAUAUUCACUUCACUCAGGAAGAAUGGGCUUUGCUAAAUCCUUCUCAGAAAUGUCUCUACACAGAUGUGAUGCUGGACACCUACAGGAACCUCACUACUACAGGCUACAUUUGGGAUGACCAUAAUAUGGAAGAUCAUUGGCAAACUUCUAGAAGACAUAGAAGGCAUCUUCAAAGGCUUGAAAAAAUUCACACUGGAGAGAAACCAUAUAGAAGUCUUCAGUAUGGUGAAGUCUUU